rfam:Coprococcus catus GD/7 draft genome.
GCAUCUGUAGCUCAGUGGAUAGAGCAACGGUUUCCGGAGCCGUGUGCGAGGGUUCGAUUCCCUUCAGGUGUA